rnacentral:lncRNA from 1 species
GGGAAGUUGAAGUAGCAAGAAGUUUUGAAAAGUGGAUGAGGGCCCUUAUUAAAAUAUCCCACAUACGUACGUUAGAAAAAGGCCAUUUUGACAUAAUUAGCCCAAAGUAAAAAUUUCUACUCUUAAAACAUUCCUGAUCACUUGAUCUAGAGGUCUUGACCUUGGUCAGUUUCAGGGAAAUUGGCUCAGUUUGCCAUCCCCAGCUCCUCAUUUUGUGUUCUUUAUUGUUCUCUAUCACUCAGGUGUACACAGCUCAAAGAUCUUUUCCCCCACUUUUGCUGCCCUAGCUCAAAUAUUUCAUUUAUAAUAUAUAUAAAUGCCUGCAAAUAGUUGACCUUCAAUAAGUGUUUGUUGACUGAAUAGCAGGUUAAAAUAUUGCCUCUCUUAUUAUUCUUGCAUUAAUUGUGAUCCUGUUUCUGAAGUUAUAAGCCAAAUUGCAGGUGUUAGCCAGUUGAUGGGAUUUGGGAAGGAUACAGAUACCCUCUGAUGUCCCUGAAAUUACACUGCACAUCUUUACCUUGACUCUAUUUAGCAUCUAAGAACCUUCAACCACAUUGAGCUUUAGUUAUAAAAGUGACUUUGCAGAUGUGUAUCCUUGCCCAAGACCUCUGAAAACCUAGGUCCUUGAUAUAUUUUUAAUAAUCAGCUCAUAUUCCUCCAAGAUGAGACUACAUAGUUUAACAUGAUUUAGUUAAAAUAUUAUCCUCCUUUACUGUGGAUUGGAAUAUGAACUCAAUGGUUGCAGUCAUAUCACAAAGAUCCGAAGCUCUAAUUGACAGCUCUAUGUCUUUGCACAGUUAAAAACAGGAGAACAAUUUAAUUAUUCCUUGACUAACAUAGCAGGUUUGGUAUGAAAAUAUUCCCAAAUGUAGGGUCUUGAGUAAAAAAAAGAAAACAAAUGGAUACUUGGUAAUAAAAAGCUUAGGAGCCCAUAUUCUAGUUCAAAACUUUACAAAAAUGAAAUAUUAACAAUAAUGAUUAAUGUUUAGUAAGCGUUAUCUUUUAGUCAUUGAGCUAAUAUCAUUUAAUUCCCCCCUGCCUCAAAAAUAAAACAAAAAUUUGGAGUGUAGAAUUUUUUUCCUCACCCUACAGAUGAAAAAGACUUAAUAUUUGGUCUGAAGAGGUUAUGUGACUUUUGUAGAUGCCACGCUUUAUCAAAGUAUGGUUGAUAUACCAAAAUGAUUGGACAUAUUUAGUGUAUGCAAUUUGAUGAGUUUGGAGAUAUGCAUGCACCCAUAAAACCAUCACACAAUCAAGGUAAUAAAAUAUCCAUCAACUCCAA